GGAAAAAAUGCUUGCUGGAUGCAAAAUUAAACCUAAUAGUUUACUGCUUUAACACCUUCCGAGCGUGAAGACAGUUGGGAUGAAGCUCAGAGAUACCACUGUUCCUGCUUGGAUUCCAGGUCCUUGUCAUACAGUCAGUAAAGAGUUGUUAAGCAAUCAGCCACAAAUAAAAUGGAAGAAAAGAUCCUGA
rnacentral:lncRNA from 1 species